UGGUUACAAUAGCAGAGAGGAUACACCUGUUCCCAUUCCGAACACAGAAGUUAAGCUCUCUAGCGCUGAUGGUACGUGUCUCUUAUACACAUCUCCGAGCCCACGAGACAGGCAGAAAUCUCGUAUGCCGUCUU
rnacentral:rRNA from 1 species